rnacentral:rRNA from 1 species
UACGUAGGGCGCAAGCGUUUGUCCGGAAUUAUUGGGCGUAAAGAGCUCGUAGGCGGUUUGUCGCGUCUGCUGUGAAAACCUAAGGCUCAACCUUGGGCUUGCAGUGGGUACGGGCAGACUAGAGUGCGGUAGGGGUGACUGGAAUUCCUGGUGUAGCGGUGGAAUGCGCAGAUAUCAGGGAGGAACACCGAUGGCGAAGGCAGGUCACUGGGCCGAUACUGACGC